rnacentral:lncRNA from 10 species
AAUGUUUCCCCUGUAGAUAAGGGGAAAAUACUGCAUGUAACUUACUUGUUUACUUUGUCUGUGUCUCCUGAUAGAAUGUAAGCUCUAUCUUUUGCUUACUACUGUGUCCUUCAUACAUAGAACAGUGUCUGGCACAAAGUAGGCACUCAAUAUACGUUGAUGAAUUAAUGUCACUAACUUCAGUGAUUUCACUACUGGAAUUGUAGUAGAAAAACUAUGCUCACACAUGCUCAAAGCCUGUUCCUGUAAUCCAGCUGUAACCUGGGCUCUGUUUUCACUUUCUGUUUAUGAUGUCCUGAACUGAGAGAUUAUUUUUUUAAGGUCUUGUUUAAAAGUUUAUGUCUAGGAUACACUAAAAAAUAACAACAUAUCAGAAAUAAAAGAGAUAAGACUGCUA